rnacentral:rRNA from 1 species
CGUAGGUGGCAAGCGUUGUCCGGAUUUAUUGGGUUUAAAGGGUGCGUAGGCGGCCCUGUAAGUCAGUGGUGAAAUAUCUCAGCUUAACUGAGAGGGUGCCAUUGAUACUGCGGGGCUUGAGUACAGAUGAGGUAGGCGGAAUUGACGGUGUAGCGGUGAAAUGCAUAGAUAUCGUCAAGAACUCCGAUAGCGAAGGCAGCUUACUAAGCUGUAACUGACGCUGAGGCACGAAAGUGUGGGGAUCAAACAGGAUUAGAUACCCUGGUAGUCCACACUGUAAACGUUGAUGACUCGAUGUUGGCGAUACACAGCCAGCGUCCAAGAGCAAUCGUUAAGUCAUCCACCUGGGGAGUACGCCGGCAACGGUG